AACAGCAUAUGAGAUUAGAGUAAAAUAUCCAACUAAAUUUAGAAUGUUUGAAUACCAAAUUGCUCAAGUGCUUAUUAAGUACACCUACAGUAUAAUAUCAAAAUGUGUACAGAUUUGAGCACAAAUAAAAUGGCCCAUAGUUGAGGCAUACUAAAUAUUUGACAUGAGCUCUUUCAUUUAUCAACAUAAAGACUAAGAUUUAACAGUAUGUCACUCUUUCACAAUAGGCACCUUAUAGAAAAACUACAAUGCAUUUCAAAACCUUUAGACAAACACAUAUUGAAUGUAGGUUUUAAGACCAACCAAUUAUGCCUACUACAUCUAUCAUGAAGAAUCUCAAUCCCUAGACCAUAAUGGUAGCCUCACUUAGAUUCUUCACGCAUAGUGACAUGACAACAUGUUUGUCUUUAACAAUUGGUUAGUGUUUACAGUUGCUAAUUUGAUAUCAUCAAAAUGUAGAGCACCCAAAAUACAUUACUCCUAUUGACCUCUAGACAUAUGCACUGAUCACGAAUAUUUUACUUAAAUGACAAUCUCAUCAAUUUCAAAUAUUAAAAAGUGGAUGCCUAUUGGGUCCACAAAUGGAUUUCUUGAGUCUAUACACUAAAUGUUCCAUUAUAGAACAUUUAGUCUUAACAUCUAACUGAUGUAGCUUCUAAUUGAGUGACCCACCAAUGCUGUAAAGAUUUGAAAAGAACUAAUGGUAGAAACAAAAUAGAAGGAUUCUUUACACCUAAUUCUUUUUUUCCAUUUAAUGCCCUAAAGCACUGAAUUGGCUUUAAACCUUUCUACAUGGCCUAUAAAGUACCUUUUCAACCUCGUCAAUCCAUUAUCAAUCAAGUGGACUACAAUGAUGUGCUCAUUUUCCUUGAUCCCACAUACAACUACACAACACAAAUAUAAUCUCAUACUACUUGGCAAACAUCUAAUUCAAAGACUUAAGAUAAUCAAAUGUUGAUCAUAAAACACAUGAACACUAUAUUCAUGUUCCUCUGUAAGUUCAGGUGCAAUUCCAAAAAUUAGAUUACUAGGAUCUACCAUUGUAUCAAUAGUUUUGUUGCAUUUUCGUCAAUAACUAAAUUAGACAUGGGACUGGCACAACAACAUCACACUUUUCAUGAUAAUGAAUUUAUGGAGUUCAAAAUCAAAUACUCAUACUGUCUAAGUUAUCCUCUAGAUAGAUUGCAUGUCAGACUUAAUGAUUUUAAUAUUUCACAAUAAAUGACAGAAUAUAGAAUCUUUGAAACCGUUACAAUAGCCAACAGAAUGCAAUUGAUAGCUUUCCAAUUAAAUUUUCUUAAUUCAAGUUAUGAGCCUAUAGAUAUGAAUUACAACCCCAAGCUCUGAAAACGGCUCAACAAUAGGUUUUUUGUCUAACCACAAUUUACAACAAUCUUUAUGAACUCAUUUGCAUGGACCUUUAUUUAAACUAAAUGUUGUAGUUUCAAAAGGUUCAUUCCACAAAAAAUUCAAAAAUGUGUAAUACCACAACAUAUACCACACCAUGUACAAAAUUGUACGAUUGUUUUCUACUGUAACCUUAUUCUUUUUUUGUAUUUCAAGUAUAGCAUACUAGCCAUCAACACCAAAAUCUAACAAAAGACUCAAUAUAAUAGUAUAGGAUUUUGCCUAGUUUAAUCAUACCUACUACAGUAUUCAUCACUUAUAUCUAACCUUAUUACCUUAGUUUUGUGUUUUUGAAAACUUGGCAAUGGAUUUAAAAAAAAAAUUUUUAAGGCUUCUACAUAGUUAGACUUCUUAUUUCACAUGAUCAAAACCUGAAUGGUCUUUAGUAUGGGUGAUGAAAUGCUUAAAUCCACUGAAAGUAGUAAGUAGAAGUGAUCUACAAUUGUCGAUAUAAGUCAAUUCUUAAGUUAAUUCCUAAUCUUCUUUACAUCUGCUAAUCUCAACCAUAAAUCAGCAGUGACAUUUCUCUUAAUGUAAUCUAUACAAGUGCCAAAUUCAGAAUAUCCUGAACGCUUAUGCCAUAACAUGGUAGACUUUUCAUCUAUUCUACCAAGAUUAUAAAUAGUGACCAUACCAUUUAUAGUUUGCAUAAUUGAAUAAGAUCGCACAUAUUCAAAAAUAUCUUUCUUUGAUUCAGUCUCCUGUUGCUUGCCAAUUACAAGUUUUGGCUUAAUGCCACUAGCAUCAAUAUCUAACUAUGAAAAGUAGAAGGCAUAGUAUCUAGAUUGGAUUUGAAAGGAAAAGGCUAACAGAAUGUCUUGCUUCACUUUUCAAUCUAAAUAACUUUUGCAAAUUGCCUUUUUGUGCCUGAUUUCAAUAGUGGCACAUUGAUUAGGUCAAUUUGCAAGUGCACAAGCCAUACAAGUAAUAAUAGUGACCUCUCAAUCAAGAUAUCAUCCCAUAAAGAUUAGGUAAAGAAAUUCCUAGAUUAAGUAUCUAUUAUCCCCUUUCAAAGUUACUUUAAUCAAAGAAUAGCAUGAAAAUUAAGCUAUCCUUAGAAAAUAAAAUCAAACAAGACAUUACACAUGCUU
rnacentral:lncRNA from 1 species